rnacentral:rRNA from 1 species
AAGGUUCGAUUCCGGAGAGGGAGCCUGAGAGACGGCUACCACAUCUAAGGAAGGCAGCAGGCGCGCAAAUUACCCACUCCCGGCACGGGGAGGUAGUGACGAAAAAUACUGUUGCGAGACUCGAACGAGGCUUCGCAAUUGGAAUGAGUACACUUUAAAUCCUUGCACGAGGAUCGAGUGGAGGGCAAGUCUGGUGCCAGCCGCCGCGGUAAUUCCAGCUCCACUAGCGUAUAUUAACGCUGUUGCGGUUAAAACGCUCGUAGUUUGCCCUCUGCUCCGGACCGGCGGUUCGCCUUAGCGGCGUUUACUGGCCGGCUCCGAGCUAUGUCCCUGCCGGCGCGCCGGGGGUGCUCUUAAACGAGUGUCCCUCGCGGCCGGCGAGUUCACUUUGAAAAAAUUAGAGUGCUCAGAGCAGGCCACAGCUAAAUGGGCCUGAAUGGUGGUGCAUGGAAUGAUGGAACAGGACCUC